rnacentral:sRNA from 1 species
GCCAGGCAGUGAUGUGCACCUGUAACCCCCGCUACUGGACAGGCAGAGGUGGGAGGUUCACUUGAACCCAGGAGUUGGAAGCCAGCCUGGGCAAUAAUGAGAAAACACAUCUCAA